ACAAGUCUUCGAUACCUGGUAAGCCUACAAGGUGAGAAUGUCAAGACAAGUCUUCGAUACCUGGUAAGCCUACAAGGUGAGAAUGUCAAGACAAGUCUUCGAUACCUGGUAAGCCUACAAGGUGAGAAUGUCAAGACAAGUCUUCGAUACCUGGUAAGCCUACAAGGUGAGAAUGUCAAGACAAGUCUUCGAUACCUGGUAAGCCUACAAGGUGAGAAUGUCAAGACAAGUCUUCGAUACCUGGUAAGCCUACAAGGUGAGAAUGUCAAGACAAGUCUUCGAUACCUGGUAAGCCUACAAGGUGAGAAUGUCAAGACAAGUCUUCGAUACCUGGUAAGCCUACAAGGUGAGAAUGUCAAGACAAGUCUUCGAUACCUGGUAAGCCUACAAGGUGAGAAUGUCAAGACAAGUCUUCGAUACCUGGUAAGCCUACAAGGUGAGAAUGUCAAGACAAGUCUUCGAUACCUGGUAAGCCUACAAGGUGAGAAUGUCAAGACAAGUCUUCGAUACCUGGUAAGCCUACAAGGUGAGAAUGUCAAGACAAGUCUUCGAUACCUGGUAAGCCUACAAGGUGAGAAUGUCAAGACAAGUCUUCGAUACCUGGUAAGCCUACAAGGUGAGAAUGUCAAGACAA